ACAUUUACAAAUCAGAAUCUCAAAUUCUCAGAGUGAAAUCUGCUGGAUAGUGAAACAACAUAGUUGAAUGACAACAGGUCACUUGUUAGUCAGGGUUAGCCAUCUUCUGGAAGAGCAUUCUGUUCCUAUCACUACAGGCUGCUGCUUCGAUUAGAUCGGGAAAAAAUAGACUAAUAAGUAAAUGAUUUUCUGUCCAAUUAAAUGAAAUUGAGUAAUUUCCUGCAACCAACCUGAUGGCACUUUCAUGUAAAUAACGACAUGAUUAAAGUGCAUUUCAGAGUCUUAAAUCUAAGAAGGACCAAAGUGAAAUGAGGCUACAUUUAGAAAACAUCAAAAUUUCAUACUUUAAAUGAACUCUUGACUUUGUGUCCCUGUUUUAAAAAUAGUUAAAAUCCCAUGUUAUUUAUCUUUCCUGUAAUUAAAUUUUUUCAUACCUAAUGCACAUUUGAAUUUCAUAUCAAUAUGUUUCAUUUUAAUUUUUAAGCCACUAGUUGAGAAGCACUUCUGUCUUGGGGGGGGGGGGGGAAACAAGAGGAAUAAUAAACAGAAACUUGAUGUUGAGUUGCUAGAUCUAUCAUGUGUCAUCUCAGGUGCCAGUGUCCAAACAUUAGACACUCUGCCUUACAUCAAAUUGCAUCGUCACCACAAAACAAAAGUCUUGAAUAGAGACACUUGUACUUUUCCACUUGAAGCGCACGGUUAUACUUGUGAACACUAAGGCGCACUUAAUGUCGACAAACACGAGCCUGUGCAGAAUCAUUCGAGUUCUUCAACUUUUUGGUACAAUAUUCUGCUCCAAGGUUCAGUCCAUAGACAUAUAAGGAUUCUAUAGCCACCUUUUUCUUAAAAUGAAUGCAGUGGUUCUCAAAAGUUUGUUUUUUUACACUACCACAUAAAAAAAAAAAAAAAUAUUUGCUAAUACCACCAUUAUUAACAGAGGUUGUGUUCGUAACACGAUUCAUUAAAGGUUAAAUACAACUGAGUUGUACUGAGGCAGUGAUUGUUGUCUGCCACACUUUGAGGAUCGCUGCAUUGAUUUGAACAGAAUAUUAACCUUGGGAAUCUCUGAGCUGUGUCAGAUAUAUGUAAGUAUGUGUUUGUGUGCGUGCUAAACUUGAUUAA